rnacentral:rRNA from 1 species
ACAUGCAAGUCGAGCGGUAGAGAGAAGCUUGCUUCUCUUGAGAGCGGCGGACGGGUGAGUAAUGCCUAGGAAUCUGCCUGGUAGUGGGGGAUAACGUUCGGAAACGGACGCUAAUACCGCAUACGUCCUACGGGAGAAAGCAGGGGACCUUCGGGCCUUGCGCUAUCAGAUGAGCCUAGGUCGGAUUAGCUAGUUGGUGAGGUAAUGGCUCACCAAGGCGACGAUCCGUAACUGGUCUGAGAGGAUGAUCAGUCACACUGGAACUGAGACACGGUCCAGACUCCUACGGGAGGCAGCAGUGGGGAAUAUUGGACAAUGGGCGAAAGCCUGAUCCAGCCAUGCCGCGUGUGUGAAGAAGGUCUUCGGAUUGUAAAGCACUUUAAGUUGGGAGGAAGGGUUGUAGAUUAAUACUCUGCAAUUUUGACGUUACCGACAGAAUAAGCACCGGCUAACUCUGUGCCAGCAGCCGCGGUAAUACAGAGGGUGCAAGCGUUAAUCGGAAUUACUGGGCGUAAAGCGCGCGUAGGUGGUUUGUUAAGUUGGAUGUGAAAUCCCCGGGCUCAACCUGGGAACUGCAUUCAAAACUGACUGACUAGAGUAUGGUAGAGGGUGGUGGAAUUUCCUGUGUAGCGGUGAAAUGCGUAGAUAUAGGAAGGAACACCAGUGGCGAAGGCGACCACCUGGACUNAUACUGACACUGAGGUGCGAUAGC